UGGGGAAUAUUGCACAAUGGGGGAAACCCUGAUGCAGCGACGCCGCGUGAGCGAAGAAGGUUUUCGAAUCGUAAAGCUCUGUCCUAUGGGAAGAUAAUGACGGUACCAUAGGAGGAAGCCCCGGCUAACUACGUGCCAGCAGCCGCGGUAAUACGUAGGGGGCAAGCGUUGUCCGGAAUCACUGGGCGUAAAGGGUUCGCAGGCGGAAAUGCAAGUCAGUUGUGAAAGGCAGAGGCUCAACCUCUGUAAGCAAUUGAAACUGUAUUUCUUGAGAUGUGGAGAGGCAAGUGGAAUUCCUAGUGUAGCGGUGAAAUGCGUAGAUAUUAGGAAGAAUACCGGUGGCGAAGGCGACUUGCUGGACACAAACUGACGCUGAGGAACGAAAGCGUGGGUUGCAAACAGG
rnacentral:rRNA from 1 species